rnacentral:rRNA from 1 species
ACGGCUCAGUAACACGUGGCUAAUCUGCCCUUGGGACCGGAACACCCCCGGGAAACUGGGGCUAAUUCUCGAUAGGUGAAGAACUCUGGAAUGAGUCUUUGCCAAAAAGUUGUUAAGGUUAUGCUCUUUGACAACGCCCAAGGAUGAGGCCGCGACCGAUCAGGUUGUUGGUGAGGUAAUGGCUCACCAAGCCUUUUACCGGUGCGGGCCGUGAGAGCGGGAGCCCGGAGAUGGGCACUGAGACAAGGGCCCAGGCCCUACGGGGCGCAGCAGUCGCGAAAACUUUGCAAUAAGCGAAAGCUUGACAGGGCUAUCCCGAGUGCCAUCCGCUGAGGAAGGCUUUUACCCAGUCUAGAACGCUGGGGGAAUAAGGAGAGGGCAAGUCUGGUGUCAGCCGCCGCGGUAAUACCAGCUCUCCGAGUGGUGUGGAUGUUUAUUGGGCCUAAAGCAUCCGUAGCUGGCUAAGUUAGUCCCUUGUUAAAUCCACCGAAUUAAUCGUUGGAUUGCGGGGGAUACUGCUUGGCUAGGGGACGAGAGAGGCAGACGGUAUUUCCGGGGUAGGGGUGAAAUCCUAUAAUCCCGGGAAGACCACCAGUGGCGAAGGCUGUCUGCUAGAACGCGCCCGACGGUGAGGGAUGAAAGCUGGGGGAGCGAACCGGAUUAGAUACCCGGGUAGUCCCAGCUGUAAACGAUGCAGGCUAGGUGUUUGGACGGCCACGUGCCGUUCUAGUGCCGCAGGGAAGCUGUUAAGCCUGCCGCCUGGGGAGUACGAUCGCAAGAUUGAAACUUAAAGGAAUUGGCGGGGGAGCAC